AGGAUGAACGGGUUGCAAUAAAAUGGUGGCUGCGACUGUUUAAUAAAAACACAGCACUCUGCAAACACGAAAGUGGACGUAUAGGGUGUGACGCCUGCCCGGUGCUGGAAGAUUAAAUGAUGGGGUGCAAGCUCUUGAUUGAAGUCCCAGUAAACGGCGGCCGUAACUAUAACGGUCCUAAGGUAGCGAAAUUCCUUGUCGGGUAAGUUCCGACCUGCACGAAUGGCGUAACGAUGGCCACACUGUCUCCUCCCGAGACUCAGCGAAGUUGAAAUGUUUGUGAUGAUGCAAUCUACCCGCGGCUAGACGGAAAGACCCCAUGAACCUUUACUGUAGCUUUGCAUUGGACUUUGAAUCAAUCUGUGUAGGAUAGGUGGGAGGCUUUGAAGC
rnacentral:rRNA from 1 species